rnacentral:rRNA from 1 species
CCUACGGGUGGCAGCAGUGGGGAAUAUUGGACAAUGGGCGAAAGCCUGAUCCAGCCAUGCCGCGUGUGUGAAGAAGGCCUUCGGGUUGUAAAGCACUUUCAGUGGGGAAGAAAGCCUUGGGGCUAAUACCCUCGAGGAAGGACAUCACCCACAGAAGAAGCACCGGCUAACUCCGUGCCAGCAGCCGCGGUAAUACGGAGGGUGCGAGCGUUAAUCGGAAUUACUGGGCGUAAAGCGCGCGUAGGCGGUCUGAUAAGCCGGUUGUGAAAGCCCCGGGCUCAACCUGGGAACGGCAUCCGGAACUGUCAGGCUAGAGUGCAGGAGAGGAAGGUAGAAUUCCCGGUGUAGCGGUGAAAUGCGUAGAGAUCGGGAGGAAUACCAGUGGCGAAGGCGGCCUUCUGGACUGACACUGACGCUGAGGUGCGAAAGCGUGGGUAGCAAACAAGAUUAGAUACCCGAGUAGUC